rnacentral:rRNA from 1 species
AGAGUUUGAUCAUGGCUCAGGAUAAACGCUGGCGGCGUGCCUAACACAUGCAAGUCGAACGCGUCUAGAGCAAUCUAGGCGAGUGGCGGACGGGUGAGGAACACGUGGGUCAUCUACCUUGAGGUGAGGAAUACCGGCGAGAAAUCGCCGACAAUACCGCAUACGUUUGGAAACAAACAAAGUUCACGCAAGUGGACGCCACAAGAUGAGCCUGCGGCCGAUUAGCUAGUUGGUGGGGUAAAAGCCUACCAAGGCGACGAUCGGUAGCUGGUCUGAGAGGACGAUCAGCCACACUGGGAUUGGGAACGGCCCAGACUCCUACGGGGGGCAGCAGUGAGGAAUUUUCGUCAAUGGGGGAAACCCUGAACGAGCAACGCCGCGUGCAGGAAGAAGGUUUUCGGAUCGUAAACUGCUUUUCUUGGGGAAGAGAACGGACGGUACCCAAGGAAGAAGCCCCGGCUAACUACGUGCCAGCAGCCGCGGUAAUACGUAGGGGGCAAGCGUUGUCCGGAUUUAUUGGGCGUAAAGCGCACGCAGGCGGUCUUGUAAGUUUCGAGUGACAGGUGGUGGCUUAACUGCCACAGGCCUUGGAAAACUGCAAGACUUGAGGACUUCAGAGGGACGCGGAAUUCCAGGUGGAGCGGUGAAAUGCGUAGAGAUCUGGAAGAACACCAAUGGCGAAGCAGCGUCCUGGGAAGUAACUGACGCUCAGGUGCGAAAGCUAGGGAGCGAACGGGAUUAGAUACCCCGGUAGUCCUAGCCGUAAACGAUGACCACUAGACGUAGGAGGUAUCGACCCCUUCUGUGUCGCAGCAACGCACUAAGUGGUCCGCCUGGGGAGUACGGUCGCAGAUUAAACUCAAAGGAAUUGACG